CAAAGACGCGCUGAACGCAAAUAUGUGGGCUAACAGGGGAAGUGAGAACAGGAGAGACUGGAUGCAAGAAGCAGGAGUCGGCCGGGCUGCCGACUGGACACGAGGAGCAGGAGUCCACUGGUGAUCAAUCAAGCUGUGCCCUGCGGCAGAGGCAGCUCAUUUCUUCAGCUCCGUCCUGACACACAGAAACACAGAGCGCAGACGCCUGCUUAACACACUGCUCCUCAGGCAGAGCUACUGCAGACUCACCCAGCCCAGCACAACCGAGGAAAGGACUGGACAGGACAGAACAGGAAAGGACAGGACAGAACAGGACAGCACAGGACAGGACAGGACAGCAGAGCACAGGACAGGACAGCACAGGACAG